CCGUGGUGUAGGGGUUAACAUGCCUGCCUGUCACGCAGGAGAUCGCGGGUUCAAAUCCCGUCGG
rnacentral:tRNA from 1 species